UCUCCUCCCCCGCCAUCUCUGCCGUCGCCAGCCGCUGCAGCCACCGGAAAAAACGCAGAAAAUUUGCUGGUUUUUGGCAGAUUUUCCAAAGGCUCGUUCUCCUUCGUUUCUCAACCAAAUUGGACGAGUGAGGUAAUCCGACUCCGCCUUCAGAGCAGGCAGGACCCUCUCGGGGUCACGCAGCGUGGGACUACUUCCAGUAGUUGACUGGAACGAGCAGCAGAGCUGUAUCGUGUGCCCUUGAACCGUAAACUUUGGUGCUCCGAGCUUUUGUAGAGCUUCGGUACCCUGUUAAUUCGUAAAACUCUAUUUUUACUGGUUGGUUGAAUUCUGUUAAAUGCUCUGUUAUUGCCCAGUUAGAAUUUGGUAUUUUGAGGCCGGAGGCCAUGGUUUGUAACACUAAGCU